AAUUAAAAUUUUCAUACAUUGGCUAUAUUUUGACACAGUUUUAAUUUAGCAUUAAAAAAACCAUGGAGCAGCUGCAGCUGUUUCUUUUACUAGCAAAUUCAAAGGCUUAAGAGGCUAAAAAACAUAAAGAAGCACAUAUCACGCAAGUACAAAAAUAUAUGCACCUAGGUGUAUAAUAGGCUGAGUACUUGGUCUUUUGGUUUGAGGACAUUGGCAGGGUUGCUAUGCAAUAUUAAAAUUUUUAUGGUAACAUUACAAAAAUAGAAUAUAGAAAA